UGAUACAUAUAAGCCAAAAACUCAAAGAGAAAAUUGCUAAAAAAGCCAACUAUAAACCGUACGCGUUUCGUGUUCCUCACGCAAAUAGUGAUCAUGUCGAAUCGAUAUUUUGUCACGUCAACAGCUUCAACUGGAUUUAGGGCUAUUUUUCUCGCGUUUCCUUCGGUGAAAAUUUUUUAAACUUUGCACGUUUGCUAAGCAUGACGAUUCGCCAAACAUAUCAAAAUUUCAAGAAAUUCUAUAAGACAGAUUUUUUGUAGUCGUUAUUCAUGAAUAUCUCAAAACCUGCCUUAUAAACAUCCCUUCAAAUUUUAAUAUGUCACUCCCCUUUCAACCAUAAAUCUUAAAAAAAAAAUUCAGAAAAAUUGACCGAAGGAAAAAAAAGAUAUUGCCGUUUGAUUGUAAAAUUAGACAAUAAAAGUGCAAAAGAUGAAACGUCAUGGUUGCCAUGGCACCACUAACACUGUUCCUAUUUGUUCAUAUGUCGACAGCAGAAGACUUCUGAACUUUCCUGGAAAUGAUUAUAUUGCCCUGUCUUAAGUGUGUUCAAUAUAAAUUUGGUUCAAAACGAAGGUUACC